rnacentral:rRNA from 1 species
AUUGAACGCUGGCGGCAGGCCUAACACAUGCAAGUCGAACGAGUGGCGGACGGGUGAGUAAUGUCUGGGAAACUGCGUGAUGGAGGGGGAUAAGUACUGGAAACGGUAGCUAAUACCGCCUACCAUCCGAUGGGCCCAGGUUGGUUUAGGGAGUUGGGGGGGUAACGGCUCACCAAGGCGACGAGCCCUAGCUGGUCUGAGAGGAUGACCGGCCACACUGGAACUGAGACACGGUCCAGACUCCUACGGGAGGCAGCAGUGGGGAAUAUUGGACAAUGGGCGCAAGCCUGAUGCAGCCAUGCCGCGUGUAUGAAGAAGGCCUUCGGGUUGUAAAGCACUUUCAGCGGGGAGGCGUUACCCGCAGAAGAAGCACCGGCUAACUCCGUGCCAGCAGCCGCGGUAAUAC